UCUCUUGGCCUAGUGGUUAGGGCGAAGGUGAGAAGCUUUGCUUGUCAUGGAGGUGCUGGGUUCAAAUCCAGGCAAAGAGAA
rnacentral:tRNA from 1 species